rnacentral:misc_RNA from 1 species
GUGCGAGCAGAAGGGGAGUAGCUCUCCGCCGGACCGUCGACAUACUGCUGGAACGCUCCAGCCGGCGCCCGGAGCCACGCCGUCCACCGGCCUGGCCAGCGAGACCUUCGGCCGCAGU